rnacentral:rRNA from 1 species
UACGUAGGGUGCAAGCGUUAAUCGGAAUUACUGGGCGUAAAGCGUGCGCAGGCGGCUUUGCAAGACAGAUGUGAAAUCCCCGGGCUUAACCUGGGAACUGCAUUUGUGACUGCAUGGCUAGAGUGCGGCAGAGGGGGAUGGAAUUCCGCGUGUAGCAGUGAAAUGCGUAGAUAUCUGGAGGAACACCGGUGGCGAAGGCGGCAUCCUGGACCAACACUGACACUGAGGAGCGAAAGCCAGGGGAGCAAGCGGG